rnacentral:rRNA from 1 species
GUGCCAGCCGCCGCGGUAAUACCGGCAGCCCAAGUGAUGGCCGCUGUUAUUGGGCCUAAAGCGUCCGUAGCUGGCCGGACAAGUCCGUUGGGAAAUCCACCCGCUUAACGGGUGGGCGUCCAGCGGAAACUGUCCGGCUUGGAGCCGGAAGACCUGAGGGGUACGUCCGGGGUAGGAGUGAAAUCCUGUAAUCCUGGACGGACCGCCGGUGGCGAAAGCACGUCGCGAGAACGGAUCCGAGAGUGAGGGACGAAAGCUAGGGUCUCGAACCGGAUUAGAAGCCCUUGUAGUCC